ensembl:lncRNA
AUGUAUGUAUGUAGCACAUGUAUGUAUGUAUGUAUGUAUGUAGCACAUGUAUGUAUGUAUGUAUGUAUGUAGCACAUGUAUGUAUGUAUGUAUGUAUGUAUGUAUGUAGCACGUAUGUAUGUAUGUAUGUAUGUAUGUAUGUAUGUAUGUAUGUAGCACAUGUAUGUAUGUAUGUAUGUAUGUAGCACAUGUAUGUAUGUAUGUAUGUAUGUAGCAUAUGUAUGUAUGUAUGUAUGUAUGUAUGUAUGUAUCACAUGUAUGUAGCACAUGUAUGU